GUAGGUGGCGAGCGUUAUCCGGAAUGAUUGGGCGUAAAGGGUGCGCAGGCGGCGUGACAAGUCUGAAGUGAAAGGUACGGGCUCAACCUGUACAGGCUUUGGAAACUGUCACGCUAGAGGACAGGAGAGGGCGGUGGAACUCCAUGUGUAGCGGUAAAAUGCGUAGAUAUAUGGAAGAACACCAGUGGCGAAGGCGGCCGCCUGGACUGUAACUGACGCUCAGGCACGAAAGCGUGGGGAGCAAAUAGGAUUAGAUACCCUAGUAGUCCACGCCCUAAACGAUGAGGAGCAGGUGCCGGGGGUAAUACCCCGGUGCCGAAGCUAACGCAGUGACUCCUCCGCCUGGGGAGUAUGCACGCAAGUGCG
rnacentral:rRNA from 1 species